GCAGUCGAACGAUGAUGCCCAGCUUGCUGGGCGGAUUAGUGGCGAACGGGUGAGUAAUACGUGAGUAACCUGCCCUUGACUCUGGGAUAAGCCUGGGAAACUGGGUCUAAUACUGGAUACUACCUCUUACCGCAUGGUGGGUGGUGGAAAGGGUUUUACUGGUUUUGGAUGGGCUCACGGCCUAUCAGCUUGUUGGUGGGGUAAUGGCUCACCAAGGCGACGACGGGUAGCCGGCCUGAGAGGGUGACCGGCCACACUGGGACUGAGACACGGCCCAGACUCCUACGGGAGGCAGCAGUGGGGAAUAUUGCACAAUGGGCGGAAGCCUGAUGCAGCGACGCCGCGUGAGGGAUGACGGCCUUCGGGUUGUAAACCUCUUUCAGUAGGGAAGAAGCGAGAGUGACGGUACCUGCAGAAGAAGCGCCGGCUAACUACGUGCCAGCAGCCGCGGUAAUACGUAGGGCGCAAGCGUUGUCCGGAAUUAUUGGGCGUAAAGAGCUCGUAAGCGGUUUGUCGCGUCUGCUGGGAAAGCCCGGGGCUCAACCCCGGGUCUGCAGUGGGUACGGGCAGACUAAAGUGCAGUAGGGGAGACUGGAAUUCCUGGUGUAGCGGUGAAAUGCGCAGAUAUCAGGAGGAACACCGAUGGCGAAGGCAGGUCUCUGGGCUGUUACUGACGCUGAGGAGCGAAAGCAUGGGGAGCGAACAGGAUUAGAUACCCUGGUAGUCCAUGCCGUAAACGUUGGGCACUAGGUGUGGGGGACAUUCCACGUUUUCCGCGCCGUAGCUAACGCAUUAAGUGCCCCGCCUGGGGAGUACGGCCGCAAGGCUAAAACUCAAAGGAAUUGACGGGGGCCCGCACAAGCGGCGGAGCAUGCGGAUUAAUUCGAUGCAACGCGAAGAACCUUACCAAGGCUUGACAUUCACCGGACCGCCCCAGAGAUGGGGUUUCCCUUCGGGGCUGGUGGACAGGUGGUGCAUGGUUGUCGUCAGCUCGUGUCGUGAGAUGUUGGGUUAAGUCCCGCAACGAGCGCAACCCUCGUUCUAUGUUGCCAGCACGUGAUGGUGGGGACUCAUAGGAGACUGCCGGGGUCAACUCGGAGGAAGGUGGGGAUGACGUCAAAUCAUCAUGCCCCUUAUGUCUUGGGCUUCACGCAUGCUACAAUGGCCGGUACAAAGGGUUGCGAUACUGUGAGGUGGAGCUAAUCCCAAAAAGCCGGUCUCAGUUCGGAUUGAGGUCUGCAACUCGACCUCAUGAAGUCGGAGUCGCUAGUAAUCGCAGAUCAGCAACGCUGCGGUGAAUACGUUCCCGGGCCUUGUACACACCGCCCGUCAAGUGCACGAAAGUUGGUAACACCCGAAGCCGGUGGUCA
rnacentral:rRNA from 1 species